CUGAGGGGCUGGGGCCGCCUGAGGGGAGCGAGGCGGGUCGCGGUGUUGGCAGGGGCAGCCUUGGUACUCCGUCAGUCAUGGCCACCCCCUCACAGCUGUGAGCGACUGCCGUGCCGUCAGCAUCCAGCCACAGCCAUUGCUCAUCUCCAUCCCCUCAGCUCCGAGGGCUGGAGCCUGGCUGGGAGAGCUGGGAAUGUUCAGGCUGGAGAAGAGAAGGGUCCGGGGAGACCUUAGAGCCCCUUCCAGUGUCUAAAGAGGCUCCAAGAGAGUUGGAGAGGGACUGGGGACAAGACCUGGAAGGACAAGACAAGCUCCCCUGCCACAGCACAGCCGGUGUUUCGAAUGACACCGGCUCCGUCGUGGAGAACAGCGUUCCAUGGCCUCUGGGGAUGUCACAGCCCGCCUCGCCGGCAGCCGCCGGCAGCACCAACAGUGCCGGCAGCGCCCGCUCCGUCAGCGACUCCUGAGGAGCAUCCGGCACGGCGGGCAUCUGUUCCCGGCUCCUCUGCUCCCUGUGGAAAUGCCACAGUUCCUCCUGCAGACGUUGCCUGUGCCCGCAGGAAGGGAGGAGAAUUCCUACACCGAGCGUGGAGAGGAGGGACCAUUCACGGUUUGCACUAGUGGGAGGGAGAUGUUUGUCAAGAAAUAGGAAAACGAGAGGGGAAAGUGCUGCUGAGACGUUGUAGCUGGUGCUGUGGCGAUGCUCAUCCCGAGCUGUCUGCGCCAAUGACGGUGCUCGGUUUGUCCCGGAAUUCCGGAGCCAACCCCACGGGUGGCAGUGGAACCGAAUUAGGGAGGGGUGGUGGGAAGGGUGAUUCCAGCUGGCUGCAUUACAUCCUAAACCCAGCAGCAGCCAAAGCAGCAUUUGGAAAAGCCGUCUGCCGUGGGCUAUAGGGAGACGUGCUGGAACCUGGAAAAACACCAGAUGGUGCCAUGGCUUUAGUUAUUUCUUUAUGCCUCUGACACUGCGAGUUCAGGCUUCCCUCUCCUCUGUGGGCUGUGCCCAUCCUCCUUCUUCCCAAGGGUCCCAGGGGAAUUCUGCCUGGCUAGAAAAAAAAAAGGGUUUUACUUACUGAACAACGAGAUAGAGCCAUUAAUUACUCACAGUGAUUAAAAAGGAGGAGAAAUUAAAGUCUAGUGAUGCCACCAAGAUGCCA